UGCGGGAGCGGGCUUGCCCGCGAUGAGGUCGUGUCAUUCAAGCAAUGCUGACUGACACGACCUCAUCGCGGGCAAGCCCGCUCCCACA
rnacentral:antisense_RNA from 1 species